UCAUCUUCCACCUUUGCCUCCUCCUCCACCACCAAUACCACCUCCCUCGGAUCGCCGCCCCACAAGAAGCUGACGAGGGGCAACUUCCUGCUCUGGAAGGCCGUCGUGCUGCCUCAGAUCAGAGGCGCACAGAUGGAGCACCACCUCGACGAGAAGAGCCCGCCACCGCCGGCCACUCUCACCAUCACCAAGGACGGCAAAGAAGAACAAGUUGUCAAUUUUGCACGAUCCCUCUGGUAUGCACAGCAGCAACAACUUCAAGGGUACUUGAUGGGUUCCUUUUCCCGUGAGAUCCUUGCACAGGUCGCCACGCUCCAGACACCGGCCGAGGUGUGGCGCGCCAUCCACGCCAUGUUCGCUGCACAAAGCCAAGCCCAGGCGAUCAACACUCGAAUCGAGCUCACCAACCUCAAGAAAGGUAACAUGUCCAUGUCUGAC
rnacentral:rRNA from 1 species